rnacentral:rRNA from 1 species
UACAGAGGUGGCAAGCGUUGUUCGGAAUUACUGGGCGUAAAGCGUGCGUAGACGGUUAUUUAAGUCAGGUGUGAAAGCCCCGGGCUCAACCUGGGAAUUGCAUUUGAGACUGAAUAGCUAGGGUGCGGAAGAGGGAAGCGGAAUUUCCGGUGUAGCGGUGAAAUGCGUAGAUAUCGGAAGGAACACCAGUGGCGAAGGCGCACAUCUGGCCCGAUACUGACGCUGAGGCGCGAAAGCUAGGGGAGCAAACGGG